UUAGCAUAUCAAUAAGCGGAGGAAAAGAAACCAACAGGGAUUGCCCUAGUAACGGCGAGUGAAGCGGCAACAGCUCAAAUUUGAAAUCUGGCCCUCGGGUCCGAGUUGUAAUUUGUAGAGGAUGCUUUUGGUGAGGUACCUUCCGAGUUCCCUGGAACGGGACGCCAUAGAGGGUGAGAGCCCCGUCUGGUUGGAUACCAAACCUCUGUAAAGCUCCUUCGACGAGUCGAGUAGUUUGGGAAUGCUGCUCUAAAUGGGAGGUAUAUGUCUUCUAAAGCUAAAUACCGGCCAGAGACCGAUAGCGCACAAGUAGAGUGAUCGAAAGAUGAAAAGCACUUUGAAAAGAGAGUUAAAAAGUACGUGAAAUUGUUGAAAGGGAAGCGCUUAUGACCAGACUUGGACUUGGUUGAUCAUCCUGGGUUCUCCCUGGUGCACUCUUCCAGUUCAGGCCAGCAUCAGUUCGCUGCGGGGGAUAAAAGUUUUGGGAAUGUGGCUCCCUCGGGAGUGUUAUAGCCCAUUUCAUAAUACCCUGCUCCGGACUGAGGUUCGCGCAUCUGCAAGGAUGCUGGCGUAAUGGUCAUCAGCGACCCGUCUUGAAACACGGACCAAGGAGUCGUCUUCGUAUGCGAGUGUUCGGGUGUUAAACCCCUACGCGUAAUGAAAGUGAACGCAGGUGAGAGCUUCGGCGCAUCAUCGACCGAUCCUGAUGUUCUCGGAUGGAUUUGAGUAAGAGCAUACGGGGCCGGACCCGAAAGAAGGUGAACUAUGCCUGUAUAGGGUGAAGCCAGAGGAAACUCUGGUGGAGGCUCGCAGCGGUUCUGACGUGCAAAUCGAUCGUCAAAUAUGGGCAUGGGGGCGAAAGACUAAUCGAACCUUCUAGUAGCUGGUUUCCGCCGA
rnacentral:rRNA from 1 species